rnacentral:lncRNA from 1 species
AUGCAUGUAAUUUUUUCUUUCAAACUAUAUGUAUACGUCAUACUGUGUAUAAAAACUUUGGAAAUGAAUAGUGGCUGGCCGAUUUCCAUUGGACCGCAUGUUUUUAAAACACGUGUCCUAUCUCUGUUAACCUUAUGCCACACAUAAAAUAAACACCCGUUAAAAACCCACAGCACCUUCUCUAAUCUCAUUUUUUCUUCUGAUUUUCCACCGGUUGAAGAUGACUGGUCUUUGUUGGAAGAUCAUCAUUUUUCUCUCUCUAAAAUGAUCGAUUGCGUCUCUGAUUUGAUGUAUUUGUUGUGGUGGAACACCCACCUUUGCUGGGUUUGGUCGAUCAUGUGGUCUGCGGCGAUGUUAGUUUCGUCAUGAAACACCGACAGCUGCGUUAGGGUUCAUGAUUGUGGUCUGCGGCGAUGUUUGUUUCGUCAUGAAACACCGACGGUUGCGUUAGGGUGCACGAUUCCUUCUUCAACUGAAUGCGUUCUUCUCUAGAGACACCACAGGUGAACCAUUGUUGCUCAUGUUUGUUUCACACCCAAAGAAAGAGAGAGAUGGAGAUGCACGGUGCUCCUGCGCCUACUUCGGUGAACAGCGUCCUCUACUUCGUAUUUUAAACACAAGGGUUUUGCGAAAGCCAUGGGUCGGAAUCGGAGAUCCGCCAGCUUGCGCCACGGUAGACACAUUUUUUAUCUCAGCUGAGUCUGCUUCAGCUUCAGCUUUGUGCGUACCUUGAUCUAUGGGAUCCAACAUAUUGGGUGAGUAUCCAUGGCUAUCAUCAUUAGUAUGUUGAUUUGGAGAAUGAUCCACAUACUCUGACUUACAGAUUUUGGUUUACUCGUUGGUUAUUUGACAUUAGCUACAUUAUGGAGAAGUAUAAAUAACAUAAAAAUUGUAGAAGAUUUAAAAAGCCAAGCGUUCUAUAGGUUCCACCGUUUUUCAUCGGGCCAGACAAAGAGAUAGUUGCAGCAUAGAGAGAUAGAGAGCCAGAUAAAUCUUUCAUGAAGAAACAAGAAUGACACAUCAAUAUAUUGGAUGAAUUCUGGUGACAAGGAUGAUGAUGGUGGUAGUUGUAUCAGUGGAGCAACGGUAGUGCCUGCUAAUAGAAAUGAUGGUAACCGGUUUGAGACGAGUGGUGGAGGCGGUAAAGGAUUUGAUCUCCUCCGGCGAGUUUUCCGACUAUCAUCGGUAAGAAUCAUCCCACACUUGAAAUAUAUACUAAUUAUAGAAUCCGAAACAUAAGAUUGUAAUCUGACUAUUGAUGUUUUAGAGGUUAAUAGAUGUUGUUGAUGGUGAAUCCCGGUUAUAAAAGUGAGGGGAUGCCAUGUUAAUGUUCGGUGCAGUUAAUGGUGGCUGGUUGUAUAUAAUGGUUGUUAACAACCGUAGAACAGUAGUGAUAGGAGGAAACGAUGAUGGAGUUCUGGCGAAUGGUUGUGGUUGUGCCCGAUUGAAUCAGUGGUGGUUAUUUGGUUAGUUCCUUUUACUUUUUAUUCUUUUGACAAAAUUCAAUUCCGAUACUUCAAAGUUCACAUGUGUUUACAAAUUAUGAUUCCUAUGAUUUUUUUUCCGAAUCAAAGAAUAAAGAGUUUUAUGAAUCAAGCUCCACUAAUACUGUCACCACCACAACCUCUGCCCACCCCACUCUUGAAAAAAAAUUAUGAACAAAAACUCAAAUACACUUGUGUCCAGAUUGCCUAUAAGAUAUAAUUUAAACUGUUAUGAUGUUUUGGUUGCCGUAGAUUGGAAAUUAACUAUAUAUGAUU